rnacentral:lncRNA from 1 species
GGACAGCCUGAAAGGACCCAGGUCGCAAGGAGCUGGCACCCUGGGAUCGAGGGAGUGAGAAUCGCUUGAUGUCACCUCACCUGGCACAGGGGCCAGCGCGGGUGACGGGGAGGGACCCUGAGGUGCGUCGUGGUCCUAGACUACCUGUCUACGGUGUCUCAGAGGGAAGCAGUUGGUCCGGCGGGGAGGGGACGCGGCGCCAGCAGCAGCUGCUCACGGAAGGGCUGGAAGGGGCCGCAGGCCGGACCUAGAGCAGCCACCAGAAUCGGAAAACAAGGGUGCUCUGCCCUGGAGCCUCCAGAGCCCAGCCCUGCACACACCUUGGUUUCAGGCCAGGAGACCGCCUGGGGCCUCGGAACGCCAGGGCUGCAGGAUGAAUCGGUGUUGUUUUAAGCCACUGGGCGCGUGCUCACUGUGUCAGCGGUGAUGGAAUACCAGGAAGCAUCAGCUGGAAGGUGGAGUGGGUGGCCGGCAGGACCUCCAGGCCUGGCCCAGAGCACCGACCCUCCUUCUGGCCAUAGGGAGCCAAGUAGGCCCGGGGCUCAGCUCUUCCCGGCAUCGCUGGGGUGGAGUCUCGGGGUGAGGGUGGGGCUUUGAUGGGGAGGAGGGCCUGGCGUGGUUAUCACCCCCAAUCCCACUUUUCCAACCCAGCCUCCGCCUCAAGCCCCAGUCAGGGGAACAGGGGCCAUGGCAGGAGCUUAAGGUCCAAGGGGCCCAGCGAGCUGUCCAUUAGUGCCAGCUGCGGGGAGACCGCCCAGGCAGCCGGACCCUUGACCUUCUCUGCUGGCAUAAUCCUGGAGAGCUUCUCGGCCUGACCAGAGGCAAGGAGGAAGCCUCGGUCCUGGACAGGGUUCUCGUACAGCGGAGAAGCCAGAGCAGACAGGUGUCUGGGGAGAUGACAAAGGAGACCUGUGGUGGGAGACUGCUGCUACGGCACCAGUCCCAGCAGUCAACGAUGGGGCCCAACAAGGCACAGGCCCCGCCGCGUGGGAGAGUCAAGAGACCACAGCAUUUGGGGCUGUCGUCGCCUCUGGUCAGCCGCCGCCACCGCCUGUGUCACUGGACAGCUGGGUUUAAGCACAGGGGAACCACAGCUCGGAAUCUCAGCACGGGUCUCAGCAGGCGAACGGUAGAAAGGGCUCUGGUUGGUGGAGGUCCCGUCAUGGCUCAGUGGUUAACAAACACGACUAGCAUCCGGGAGGGCGAGGGUUUGAUCCCCGGCUUCGCUCAGUGGGUUAAGGAUCUGGUGUUGCCGUGAGCUGUGGUGUAGGUUGCAGACGUAGCUCGGAUCCCAUGUUCCUGUGGCUGUGGUGGAGGCCAGCAGCUACAGCUCCGACUCAG